UAAAACUUGGUACGUUGAAAUAAAAUUUCCCCUCAAUUUGCCUUUUAUUAGAAGAACAAAAUUUUGGGGCAACAAAAUUGGUGGCGGUGGUGGUGGUGGUGGUGAUGAUGAUGAUGAUGGAGGAAGAACGCCUGAAACGCCUGAAACGCCAUGAGUUGAUUGAGGAGGAACGCAAGAAGUUGUUGAUCGAGGAGGUAUUUUUGAGGCUUCCACCGCCGUCGGUGGCUCGAUUCAAAUCCAUUUCCAAGUGGUGGCGACGAUAUCUGUCCGAACCACCGUUCGUGGAUAGAUAUGAGGCUAGAAAUCUCUCGGUUUUAGGGUUUUUCUACCAGACAAACUACAAAAAGUUCGUUUUCAGAGCGAUCCCAUCCAAUCCCAAUCCCAAUCCCAAUGAUAAGAGUUCGAGUUCGAUUUCGAUUUCCACAGGCAAUCGCCUGCGAAUCGGUUUUGAGGGCCAUAUUGGAGCAUCAGAUAACACCCUGCUAGUCAUUAACUUUUCCAAUGGCCUACUCCUCCUCUACUCUUCAAUGCCUGUUCCUUACUAUGAGGUUUAUAAUCCUACUACCAGUGAUAAAGUCUCUGUCCGAUUCUCUUACGAUUACGAAACCUUUGCCACACGGUAUAUGGUAUUUGGAUUUGCUUUUGAUCCUUAUUCUACCCAUCCCUGCUUCACAAUCGUCGACAUUGCAGAUACUGGAGCCCGAUGAUUCAUAUCUGGAAAGUUACAUUAGCACUAUUGGAGUUGACUUCAAAAUCCGCACAGUUGAGCAGGAUGGAAAACCAUUAAACUCCAGAUUUCACAUGCACGCGAGUGCAUUGGAAACAAUGAUGACAGACAACAACAAUCUAGGGAGAAGAAAAUGCAAGAAAAGAGGAUACAGAGAGAACUAUAUAGGGUUUUAUCCCUUUAUUUAUUUAUUUAUUUUUGGGUCUCUACCUCUUUCUCCGUCCUCCAUGGCUCCGAAGGUGGAUUACAUAUCAUCGACAAGAAUUGCCUGGACUACUGAUUCAUGACACCCAAAGGCUAACGGACCACUAUCAUUGCGUCGAAGAGACCAUCUUCACAUGAAACAUCUCUACAAGCUUACCCCAUUUCUGUCUCGUCAGACCAUUGGAUCAGUACCAUCACGCCAUUUCCAUACAGGUAACGAAACUUCCAUUUCACUCUCUAUUUUCUGAAAUGGGUUUCUAUGAGUGAAAUAGUUUCGAACUGAUUUGAUUUCAGUUAUGAAAUGGUGUGAUUUCUUUGAAAUGGGUUUCCUAGAUAGUUUCUAUUUCUAUUUUCUGAAUCUGAAAUGGUUUUAUCAAAUGGUUUCAAUCUUUGAUUUCGGAUAUUGGUCAUUAGCACUCUGUCAAAUUGUAUUGGACAUGAGAACUCUAUUUUUUGGACUUUGGUCCUCAUGCUUUGUGAAUACUUGUAAUUUAAGUGCUCUCAUGCCUAAUAUUCUUCACUUAAUGAAUGUUAGGCAUGAUCAUGCUUCUUCACAAAAAGCAUUCCUAAUGAUUUCUGUGAAAUAGUUGUGAAAUGGGUCUCUUUCUAUGAAAUGAGUUUUAUGGUUUUCUCUUUAAUGGGUUUCAGGGGCUUCUAAUACAUUAAAAGGCAAGAAAUAAGGGAAAUCAAACAAAAAUGAAGUUGCUUCUGUUUCUAACUUUAACUAUCAACUAAAGUAAUAGGGGUUUCUCUAAUUAACUUUAGUUCAUAAAUUUUAUUAUUAAGUAGUGGUUAAUUUUUCCAUUGUGAUUCUGUGGGUGGUUUUCAUUCCAUUGUGAUUCAUGGUUCAUUAUCUUAUUAAUAAAUGUGAUUCAUGUUUCUAAUUUUCUUAUAAUUUUUUUAUGAUUCAUGUUUCUUAUGUUUAUAAUUUUCUUAUGAUUUUGUGAGUGAAAGGGUGAUUAUUUGAUUCAUGGUGUUGGAAGGAAUACUUUCAUUUUGUGCAGGUGAUGCUAUUGAUGUUGGAAGGACUAUUUUUUAUUUUAGGUAAGAAACAUCUUCUAUUCAUUUCUCAUGCUUAUUCUUAUUUUUAUUGGUUUACACAUUUUAAAUGUUAAAUAACUGUAAAUCCUUCAUUCACGUUUGUUUCCUGUGGUUUUUAAUAUUAGUGUUGGGAUUUUUGCUCUAUCCCAAAUUCCUUUUUAUUUAUAUUAAUAAUUGUUUUAGUUUAGUUUAGAUUUUGUGAGCAGUAUGUUAAAUUGGUGGUGUUUGGUUGGGUAGUGUUGGAACUCAUUAUUUUUAUGACAAAAUUUAUAGAGAAGAAAAAAAUGGGUUGAAGUCCUCUAUGCUACGAUAUCUACAGCAACGAGUAAUCUUUUCAUGGGUAGUUCAAAGAGAAUGAAUAUUGAUGAUUGCAUUAGCUCAUCAUUUAGUUUGUUUAUUUAUUUUAAGAGAAGUUAAGAGUU